rnacentral:rRNA from 1 species
UGAGGAAUAUUGGACAAUGGGUGAAAGCCUGAUCCAGCCAUCCCGCGUGAAGGAUUAAGGACCUAUGGUUUGUAAACUUCUUUUGUACGGAACGAAAAGACUCUCUCUAAUACAGGGCGCUCAUGACGGUACCGUAAGAAUAAGCACCGGCUAACUACGUGCCAGCAGCCGCGGUAA